UGUCAAUUUUGGUGCAGAUGUUGGACGC
rnacentral:piRNA from 1 species